rnacentral:lncRNA from 1 species
AGAAGUUGACCCAGAUAAGAUUAAAGCUAUCAUGGAAAUGCCACCACCAAGGUCUGAAAAGGAGGAGAGAGGCUUACCUACUUUCUAAGAAGGACAGACAGGAGGGCAUUGCUUCCUUGGCUUGCUUACCUGGAAUGGAAGAAUGAAGCGCUAAUGCAUUGAUACCAAAUACCAAAGAAAGAUUCAUUGAUCGGAUUGCUUUUGUCCUAAGAAGCAAGGACAGGAAUUGCUACUUGAACUAGAAAGCAUACUACUUAUAUAUAUAUAGAAUAGUUAUUCAUGUGCAUAUCAUGUAGGCAAGGAAAGAGAUUAGUUUAAAGCCAAGUCGUCGACUGACCGAUGGGAUUGAGAGAUUGACUUACCGAUUUCUUUGUUUGAACGAAUUUCAUACAAUCCUGUAUUUGCCCUAUAUGUAUGUUCAAAGCUCAAACUCCCUUU